CCAGAUAGCAAACUUCAUUGAUUUAAAGUUGAAAAUUGGUCAGAUUGGUUGAUGUUUGGUUGAAGUUAAAAAGUCAACAUCAAUUCAAUGUUUAAGUGUAAUCAUAAUUUCAACGUUGAAAAACUGGCAUUUCAUCAACAUUGUUUCAAUGUCAAUGUUCCGAAGGUAUGGGCCGAAGAUUCUAGAAUAGAGCUUUGGUACGCGCUUUAAUCAACCAUCCAAUCAGCAAGGAGCAGAUUUUAUUUGAAUUUUCUCCCGGAGGAGCUGGAUCCUCUCGCUGCACUGCACACGUUAGAGAAGAAGAAAUAGAGGUAUCAGCACAACAUUUGUAAAGAUGUCCUGGCUCUCAACAAAGGCACCAGGCAGGAUUGUUUUUUCUCUUGCAUUCCCAUAAGCCUGACUUCCUGAUGUCCACUACACUCUGUUCUCAAUCUUCUCCAGUCUUUUGCAAACUGUGAUGUUCAGAUGUCCUAUAAGCCUGACUUCCUGAUGUCCACUACACUCCGUUCUCAACCUUCUCCGGUAUUCUGCAAACUGUGAAUGCCUCCUUGUGUUGGAUUCAUGAUGUUCACCAUACUGCACGGCCUACUUUUUUCUUCGCAAGCUAUGGAAAGAAACUCUGUUCAGCUCAUGAAACGGACUGUUCACAUUUUUUGACAUUUGUGGAGGAAGCAGGGUAUCCUGGUAAUUUUAUUUUGCAGCUACUAUGCUCUCGUCAUAGAUACCUUGCAUCCUACCCAGUGAGUACAUUAUACGAUUUUGAUUUCCAGUA